ensembl:lncRNA
CCCUCUGCCUGCAUCUGCAGUUGCUGCCUCCAACUGCAGGUUGCCGGCAGGCAGCUGCAACCAAAUCUUCACCUACGGCCUCUGCCAGUGACCUGUUGAUGCCGCCUCAAACUGCAGGUUGCUGGCAGACAGCUUCAACCAAACCUCCACCUACGUCCUACGACCACAGUUGCACCACCACCAGCCUCCACCUAAAAUCCUCUGCCAGCAACCUGCGGUUUUUGUCUCCAACUGCAGUCUGCUUGCAGACAACUGCAACUUAAUUCCACCUUAACAGCCUCUGCCACAAACCUGCAGUUACACCCUCCACUUGCAGAUUGUGGUUGAGGGGCUACAACCAAACCUCCACCGCCAGCUGUACCUAAACAUCCACAGAGACUGACCAGAGCGACUAAAGUAACUUUCAUCAUGGAAAAUGUGAGAUUUGAACCCUUUGAAUGUCAACAAUGUUUUCUGUGAAUGUCAACAACGUUUUCUGUGUUUUACCGUUUUCCCCUCCCUGACCAUCCAGAGGUGUUGGACUGUGUUCCCGCUGUGCAGCCCUCCUCAGCUGGUGACCAUUCAGGGUCUUUGGAUUUGGUCCGGAAGCCUAGAGCCACCAUCCCACCUGCUGACCUGCCCCGAGUCUCCUGUGUGGCCCCCAGCCCUCCACUGCUCCACUGCUCCACUGGCCUCUGAAGAUAUUUAACCUCCCAGUGGAAGAAUACCAGCAGCUGUACCACGAGGUUGUUGAUGAAUUGACUACAAUUUAACAAGCUCCACCACCUGCAACCUACCCUCCACCUAAAGAACCUCUGCCACAGUCCUGCUGUUGCUGCCUCCACCAGCAAGUUGUGGCAGCUGGAUCUUUCAGCCUCCUCUAGCAAUCUGCAGUUGCUGCCUCCAACUGCAUGUUGCUGGCAGCUGCUGCCAAACCUCCACCUUACAUAGGCUCAACCCCUAAACUGCUGUUACCACCUCCACCAGCAGAUAUUGGCAGACAGCUGGAAGCAAACCUUCACCUUGAUCCUCUGCCAGUGACCUGCAGUUGUUGCCUCCAACUGAAGGUUGCUGGCAGACAGCUUCAACCAAACCUCCACCUACGUCCUACGACCACAGUUGCACCACCUGCAGCCUCUGCCAGCCUCCACCUAAAAUCCUCUGCCAGCAACCUGCGGUUUUUGCCUCCAACUGCAGUCUGCUUGCAGACAACUGCAACUUAAUUCCACCUUAACAGCCUCUGCCACAAACCUGCAGUUACACCCUCCACUUGCAGAUUGUGGUUGAGGGGCUACAACCAAACCUCCACCGCCAGCUGUACCUAAACAUCCACAGAGACUGACCAGAGCGACUAAAGUAACUUUCAUCAUGGAAAAUGUGAGAUUUGAACCCUUUGAAUGUCAACAAUGUUUUCUGUGAAUGUCAACAACGUUUUCUGUGUUUUACCGUUUUCCCCUCCCUGACCAUCCAGAGGUGUUGGACUGUGUUCCCGCUGUGCAGCCCUCCUCAGCUGGUGACCAUUCAGGGUCUUUGGAUUUGGUCCGGAAGCCUAGAGC